rnacentral:rRNA from 1 species
AGUGAACGCUGGCGGUAGGCCUAACACAUGCAAGUCGAACGGCAGCACAGUAAGAGCUUGCUCUUACGGGUGGCGAGUGGCGGACGGGUGAGGAAUACAUCGGAAUCUACUUUUUCGUGGGGGAUGACGUAGGGAAACUUACGCUAAUACCGCAUACGACCUACGGGUGAAAGCAGGGGAUCUUCGGACCUUGCGCGAUUGAAUGAGCCGAUGUCGGAUUAGCUAGUUGGCGGGGUAAAGGCCCACCAAGGCGACGAUCCGUAGCUGGUCUGAGAGGAUGAUCAGCCACACUGGAACUGAGACACGGUCCAGACUCCUACGGGAGGCAGCAGUGGGGAAUAUUGGACAAAGGGCGCAAGCCUGAUCCAGCCAUACCGCGUGGGUGAAGAAGGCCUUCGGGUUGCAAAGCCCUUUUGUUGGGAAAGAAAGGCAGCAGGUUAAUACCCCGCUGUUCUGACGGUACCCAAAGAAUAAGCACCGGCUAACUUCGUG